rnacentral:rRNA from 1 species
GUGUCAGCCGCCGCGGUAAUACGUAGGGGGCGAGCGUUGUCCGGAUUCAUUGGGCGUAAAGAGCUCGUAGGCGGUUCGGUAAGUCAGGUGUGAAAACUCCAGGCUCAACUUGGAGACGCCACCUGAUACUGUCGUGACUAGAGUCCGGUAGGGGAGCAUGGAAUUCCUGGUGUAGCGGUGAAAUGCGCAGAUAUCAGGAGGAACACCAGCGGCGAAGGCGGUGCUCUGGGCCGGAACUGACGCUGAGGAGCGAAAGCGUGGGGAGCGAACAGGAUUAGAAACCCGCGUAGUCC